AUCGUCUAGCGCGUCCUCUUAUCAUGUAGCGCCAUUGUCUAGCGCCCGCGUCUGUUGUGCAACACCCCAUCAUCUAGCACUUCACCUAUCACAUAGCGCCCACGCUCAUCGUGUGGCACCCAUCGUGUAGCUCUUAUGUCUAUCGCCCAGCGCCCGCGCCUAACGCAUCGUCUAGCGUUUACGCUUAUCGUCUGGCGCGUCCGAGCUCAUCGUUUAGCGCUAACGUAUAGUGCUAUCGUCCAGUGCUUACGCCGAUCGUGUAGCGCCAUCGCCUAUCGUGUAGCGCUAUCGUCUAGUGCUAUCGUUUAGUGUCGCAUGCUUCUACACGAUCGUUCGCGCGCAUCACACCAACGCCUAGCGCCUUGCACAUACUAGUCAGUACACAUGCCCAGUCCCAGCGCCUUGUGCUCAUUGCUCUCGCUCACACAGCAUCUCAUUAUCCCAGCGUAUGAACAACCUUUGGGCAGCGCCUCUUGUCAAUGCUUCGGCCAACAUGCGUCCAACCCUCACAAGCUCAACGCAUGGUAUGCAUCCAACUCUCAUAAGCUCAAUGCAUGGUUGUCCUUGGCUUCCAUUCUUAUUCUCUUAUAACCUCUAUAAACUUAAGUCUCAUCUCAUGCGUUAAUGUUUCCUAACACCAAAAGCAUGGUUAUCCUUUGAUUUCAUACUUUGCCAAACUUUUACUAGUUAAGGCUCAUCUCAAAGCUACUAAACAAAUCUAUUUAAACACUUAGAAUUUUCCUUUCUUCAACAUAGGAUUUAACUUAUACUUAGUUAACUCCCUUAAUUACCUACUUAAGUAGAGAAAUUGAGAUACAGGUUUCACAAUGCUACCGAGUGUCGAGUAUAAGUAAUCAAGAUAGGGUCGAGCAUUGAGUAAAGGCUGCCGAGUGUUGAGUAUAAGUGAUCGAGGAAGGGGUCGAGCGUCGAGGGUGACUGAGGAAGGAUCACGUGUCAAGUACGACCGAUCGAGUAAGAAGCGUGCAUCGAGCGAACUCCCAGCUCUGAGUUUCCCCAUUGAGUAUCAAGUCCUUCCAUCGAGUAUUUAACAGAAAGUCACAGAAUUUUCCAUCAAGUAAGGACCUUUCUCCAUCGAGUUUUUCUAGCGAGGAUCGAGUUGCUCGAAACGCUCAGUUUUAAACUUCUCUUUUAGUUACCUGGAUAGAUGACUCAAUCUCGACCCUUAAUCUCCACUUAAGGGUGAGGUGGCUUAACGAGAUUUCAUCUAAAGGGCUGGACAGUAGUGUAAAAAGGAAGAGAACUUCAAAGGCUCGUUUUGGAAGAUUUACUCAAGCAAACCAGGCGAAUUUGAUACCAUUGGAAAGCUCUACGAGUUUAGUUUCUGAAAUGGAGCCUUUGGAAGGGAGUUCUCGUCGGAAAGAGGGCCGGAGAAGGAAGGAAGAGUUGAAGGUUCAUUUUCGGGCAUUUUCAGGCACUCGACGAAGAAAUGUAGAUCUAGACCGAACCACUUGGAUUUUCAAGCUGAACUUUAAGGUAUUAUCGAGAACACCAUUUCAAGUAAGUUUGUAGAAGGAACCUUAGCAAGAAAAAGUCUAGGGUUCGAGUUACAUAUUUUGGAAGUUAAUCCUAGAAUCUUUACUCAAGCAGGGAGUUGCGGUUAGGGCUGUUGGGAAAGAUUUAAAGGGUCAAGUUAAACGACAAAGAGUUUCACACUAAACCUUUGAGGUAACAUUGUUAUCGAAAUUCCGCUCAUGUUUGGAAAACGAACUUUCUUAAAAUGAGUUCUAGUUUUCAAGUUACUCACGUUAGAAGUUGAAUUUGGAAAAUGUUGAAAGAUUAGGCAACCCCUUGCUAAGUAUGAGCUUAGUUAAAAGAGUAGUCUCAAAAGGGAGGCCAAAGUAGCAACUAAACUCUUAUUCUUUUAUGUGUAGAAGCUACGUCCAUUGGGGAGGCAUACAAAGCUUAGGAAGAACCAAGCCCAGGGAUCUGUGAGUGACUAAAUGUUUUCAAAUAUGUUCACAAAAGGGACAUGCGUUCCAAAUGAAUUCCAUGCUAACGUUCAUGGGUUUUCCAAGCAACUAAAGUUUAUACUUAUGUUUUAAAUGAGUUUUACUAAUCCAAACAUAUGUUAAGAAUGUAUGAAAAAGUAAUGCAACUACAUGUUAUUAAUUGUGAAGUAUGCAUGUUAAAUGGUAAUGAUGCUCUUAGGGGGAAAGCUAAGUAAGUGCUAAGCCUAAAGCUUAUGAUGCUCAAAUCUUUUAUGAAUGUUACAUUUCUAAUAUACAAGGUACCGAAGGUAUAGAAGGUAUCCAAGGAAGUAGGUAAGGUGUUGACGAUACUUAGUAUAUUCCACGUGCACGUAGGAAGUUCUUUAUGAGAGGCCGAAGUAUGGGUCUCUUGGCUACAGUCUUUAUAAUGGGACCGAAGUAUGGGUCUCACGGCCAUGAAUGCUCAUUGGGAGAUUGAGUUAUGAAUGCUCGUUCUCAACUAAGGUUUGAUGGCAUGAUUGAUUAUAAUGCUAUGAUUAAUGUAUGGUACUAUGCAAGUUGUUUGAGAUUAUUUUCCAGCAUGUUGUUUAUUAACAUUAAAGCAUAUGAAAGGUUUGAAAAGAAAUGUAUUUCUAUGUGUCACUCGCUGGGCAAUCAGCUCACAGUUUUCAAAUGUUUUCCUUUUUCCCAGGCAACGGUCAGUUCCCUCGCGAUUAAAUCCACUACAGCUUGCCACCCAAAGUUUGAUGACCUUAGGAAGAAGCUUAGGUUAAGCUUGUUUUGAUGUACACACAUUUGGAAAGGAGUCGGAGACUUGUGAAACUUAAUUUCUUUUAGGACACAUGUUUAUUUUGACCAUCUUAUUUCAUUGAACAUAUGUUUGUUUUGGAACUGUAAUUAAGACUUGCACUAUUUAAUUUCAUGGAUGUGUUUUGCCAAGUCGGUUGCAUAUUGAGGUUUCAAGCAGGUUCACUUAAGUUAGGCAGUAAGUGCUGGCAUCUAGGUCGGUAACUGUUGUUGUCAUAUCCUUUUUCGGUUUUAGAGGGUAAACCAGGAGAGGGUGUGACAAGUACCCUGUAUAUAUACCUUGACCCUAUUUUCUAUUUUGGAAUUACCUGGUAUUUGUAGUUUCAUCAACAACAUCUACGAACAAAUCAAGGACAAAUCAGGGAUUUAGAAACUUAUGGCCAUGUGCAUGUUACAUGAGUUGCCAUAAUUCUUGUUCCUGGACGGUUUUUUUCAUUUUUCAAAAUAAAAUCUCAAAUUCCACCAUAUACUCCAAUUCCUCUAAAUAAAUCUUUGAGAAAGGUGUAAAAAAUCUUGUCUCAAAACAAUUUUUGCGAGAUGAUAAGCAAUCUUAUCUUGCUUCAAUUUUUGCAUUGAGCCUAAAAAAAGGAUAGAGAAUUCUCUUGCAGACUACCUUGCUAGAUAAACACCAUUCUUCUAAGAAGAAAUCCCCUAAUAUGCCUCCGAAAAUUUCCUCCCAAAAAUAAGGGAACCUCCUCCCAGUCGAAAGUAAAUCAACCUAGUUCUUCAAGGACUACAAGCUCAAAAGGCAAAAGGCCAAUUACUCAAAUCUUCUGCACCUACUCCAAUGAGUACAAAUAGUUACGCUAUGGACACCGACUUCAAACUCAUAUCCAGGAGACGUCUAGGCUUUAUUUCAAGGGCAUUAUCAAUACAGUCAGGUCCUUUAAACCUACCACCUUAACCUUCUACAACUCUAUUACACCCUUCUCGUGUACACAGUCCAAAUAAAAGGUCAUCAGUAUCCACCUAUGGUCCCUCAAGUUGUACAACCAAGAGUAUUCAAACCCAGACCGACAAUCGUAGGAUAUUUUACCAAAACUACUCUGGUCGAUCUCGUAAUUGAGCCAGUGUUUGAUGGACCAUACAUCCAAUAGGUCUGUUCCCAAAUUUUUCCUCAUGGAUUUAAUUUUCUUCCGAAGGAAAUUUCAAAAACCAAAACUUUUUACGAGUCCAUUUUAAUAGACACAAACUCUAUUGAAAUUACUCAGGUCCCAGAUCGUUCUAAUCCAUAAAAACUCAUAUGCAAAAAUUGAGAAGUUUCAAAGUUUUGAUACCAUCCUACACGAAUCAGGGGAUAUUUGUACCUAAGAAAUUCUCAAAACCUUCAAACCACAAUAUUAUACCUACCGCAGUUACAUGCGUGCAUAGUAUUAUGUUAUUUGGUUUCAAUUUUAUAACCAUUCAUGGUUCAUUACAUUUUGUAAGCAAGCUUACAAAAUGCAUUUCUUAUAUGGUUUCAACAAUGGUGGACGUACUUCAGAGUCUCUAAAAAAAUAUUUCCAAUAGAAGUUCAUAGGUCUUAUCAUCUAUUUUAAAAUAGCAUCUAUGUGUCACCACUUUAAAAAAAACGUAUAAAUUCACUUUAUAUUUCCAAAUUCCUUGGAUCUUUUGCUAGAACUUCCAACUAGGACCAUAAGAAAAUUUUAAAGUGUUGAGCAAAGUCCUCAUCAAAUGGUGGGAAAAUUUUGACUAUUCCCACUUAGAGAUCUCAAAGAUAAAGGUUUGGUUUAAUGGCCACGUUCAUCUUCAAGAUCUUACUUGAUAAGAAGAUGAACAAUUUCUUUUGACAAAGAACUCAAUUCUAAUUUCCUUGGCAGGAGCAAGCUUCCCAGACGAAUUUACCUCAAUCAUCAAUACUAUCGUGCAACCAGACCACAACAAGAAUCAACCAGGGAAAUAGAAAGAUGCUAAUUACUCUCCCUCAGUAAACAAUGAAGAUAAUGACUACGAUCCAUACAUCGACUUCGACAUUAAUGACCCAUUUUUGGAUUCCUGGUCAAAUUAAUCCAUGGUUAGGGUUUAACUAAAAACAAAUGUUCACGAUAAGACCAUUGUAUUCUAUUCUUAUCAUUCUAUAAUUCAAUAUGGUUUUCUUUAUUUUGAGUGUGCUUUUAGUCUGUGCAGAUCACUGUCGUUUGAGACGAUCUACAAUUGAAGGGGUGCAUGAGGUAGAUAACAGCUUCUGAAGUGGACUAACCAACCACAGGUCACGCAGUUAGCGAAAGGUUUGAAUCCUAGUUAGGAAAAACUUUAAUAUCCCACCAAUCUAACUACUUGACAAAGGAAAGUGCGUUGGGCAGUUAAAUGGCAGGGUAGUCGGGUUGUAAGUCCCUAGAUCGUAUUUCCCUAUGACAAAGAAUGAGACUAGUACAAUUGAUAUAAGUAAUAGUAAUCAAUCUAGGUCAUUCGAGAGAACCUGCAUGAUGUCAUCCCUUAUCAUGAAGAGAUAAGAUUGAAAAACUUUAUCAUUUAUUACUUUAUUUACUUUUCUACAAGUGUUUUUAUUAUUUUCUUUGAAAGAUUCGUGAUAAAUAAAGCCUAGUAGGGGAUCCUGUCCCACCAGUCAAAUUCUUAUUGCAAUCUUUUACUUUUUCAAAUGAAAGAUUCCCAAAGGAUAACAUGCCAAGUAGGGAUCCUGUCCUGAUGACCACCUUCGGGAUUUUUCUCCUAUGUAAUCAAUUAUUAGUAGAGACACAUGUUGACUUUGAGUCUCACCCAAAGGAAGACAAGAAAUUUAAGUCUUGCCCUAGGCUUAAUCUAAUAAACAAGUGAAAAUGCAAUAUUUAACUUGUGAGGCCAAAUUAACAAACUUCGAGAAAGUUUUUAAUACACACGGUAGUAUAGAAAUUUUUUUGGUAAAACCUCCACUCGUUCGAAACAUUUAAGAAUGAUGCAAAGUCCGUGUAGUGUUGGUUUAAGGUUCGACCCAGAUAGCUUAAGGGUAAGAUGCCACAAAACCUAAACCUUUUCUAUGAGACGCACAAUAAAAAAAAAUUAUAUUUAUACAUAUUUAUUUAAUAUAGGAAGAAAAAUCGUAUGAUGAAUGAUAAGAUGAUAAGAAAUAAACUUUUUUUUGGGGAAAAAAAUAGAGCUUUUAUUCAAGAUGGUAAUAAUAUUCAUGUGUUUGCAUAGUAAGGCAUGUGUCUCGACUCUUAAGUGUGCUUCAUGAAGAGAGCCUCAACGCAAAGGCCAUGCUUUGGGCUUAAGUGCGCCGCUUUAGUGUACUUUAUAAAGCACAUUAGAACUAUAAAUAAAAUAAUAUAUCACGAGUAGUAUAUGCUGCGUUACUAUAGGAUUAGAAAUCUUCCUACCAACCUACAUAUAUUUGAGGAUAUGGAUAUCAUUUGAUAUAAAAAAAACUCGACAACUCGAAAAAUUUGAUCAACCCAAACUAAAUCAUAAGAGUUGGAUUGGAUUAGGUGUUUAAGGAAUCGACCGGCAACUCUUUGAUUCAAGGGGAGAAAAUUCAGUUUGACCUAAACUGAACCGACCUAUCAUUUUAGUGUUUCUUUCAAGAACAAUUGUUCAGAUUACGUCUCCUUCAACUUUUAAUCGGCAACAUACUCAAAGAGCAGCCCGAGCCUCUACUUCUCCUUCAACUUUAUACCGAUUGACAGAUCGACAGUUCGUCUUCUUCAACCUGCAGUUGACAGUGCGUCUCAUUCAAUCUCAAUCUUCCGCUAUCAACACAUCUCUCUAUCAACAUUCAUGUCUUCUUCUUUGCCUCUUGUAGACCCUUCCCUUUCAUCAUCCAUCUCAACAUCGCCUCGCCAGUCGUCCACCACCAGCAACGGUCCCUACUCGAAUGCACCCCUAAAUGUUAGGGAUGCAUAUGAUCGUUGGACAAAGGCCAAUGAAAAGGUCUGGGUCUAUAUCUUGGCGAGUCUAUUUGAUGUAUUCAACAAAAAGCAUGAGGCCAUGCUCAUUGCUCAUGAGAUCAUGGAGUCCCUCCAGGGUAUGUUUAGGCAAUUGUCCAUUUAGAUUCGACACAAGGCCCUCAAAUACGUGUAUAAUGCAUGUAUGAAGGAAGGCCAAUCAUUUAGAGAACAUAUUCUCGACCUGAUGGUCCAGUUCAACAUGCCUGAAAUGAACGUGGCGGUCAUUGAUGAGCAAAGUCAGGUAUAUUUUAUUCUGGAAUCUCUUAUAAAGAGCUUUCUUCAAUUCCACAGCAAUGCGGUUAUGAAUAAAAUCCAAUACACCAUAAUGACUCUCCUAAAUGAGUUGUAGACCUACCAGUCUCUUAUGAAAGGUAAGGGACCGAUAGAAGGAAAGGCAAAUGUUGCCCAUUCCAGAAAGUUCCAUAAGGAUACAUCCUCUCGGGAAUUAAGUCUGUACCCUCAUCUUUUGGUCUUAAGAAGGUCCAGAAGAAGAAAGGAGGAAAUGAAAAUGCUCCCUCUAUUGAGAAGAGUAAAGUAAAGGCCAAGGCGGUCGACAAGGGCAAGUGUUUCCAUUGCAAUGCACUAGAAGCGGAGCUGCCUAAAGUACCUUGCUGAGAAGAAGAAGGAAAAGGAAGGGAACUAGUUCCUUCCAACAGCUUGUUAAGGGUGAAAUGACGCUCAAGGUUGGAACUAGAGACAUCAUUUUAACUCAUGCAGUGAGAGCUGUGAAGUUGUUUUUUUGGAAAUAGAUUUCUU